rnacentral:lncRNA from 1 species
CUACUGCGUACCAUACAUCGAGCGCUGCAGGCUAGUCCGGCCUGGACAGCGGCGGCUACUCGAAGUUGUAGUGCUUGUCGACGGCCUCGGCGACGUCCCAGGUGCAGCUCAUGCCCUUGGGGAAGACGACCAGGUCCCCCGCGGCGAUCUCCACGAACUCCUCCCCGUGGCCCUCCGGGUACACCUUCACCUUCCCCUGCAGCAGGUAGCACGUCUCCUUGGCCGAGUAGGUCCACGGGAACUUGCUCUUCUCGCACCCCCACCUGAUCGAUUCGUGCAUUCACCAGCAGGUCGCCGUCAGCAAGGGGAACGAGCCCAGUGGAGGCGGGGGGGACGGCGGGGAGAUCGGAGAUUGGGAUGCCCGGGAGGGCGGGUAGCUUACUUGGGCCACUGGCGGACGCCGAGCUCGGAGAGGCGGGACUCGGGCGGGUUGCGCUCCACCCUGAUGCCCAGCUUCUCCGUCGCCAUCGUCUCCGCCGACGCCCUCACCGCCGCGAAUCGCCGCCUGGCUGCGCUGGGGGAAGAAGAGGAGUAGCUGAGGCGGCCGGUGCUGGUGCGGAGCUGGACCGGAGUGGCUACCAUUGGGCUCGCCAUCUCUCUCUCAAAAGCGGUAUGCGAGGGC